rnacentral:tRNA from 1 species
CAGAAUGGCUGAGUGGUUAAGGUGUUGGACUUCAGACCCAGUGGGUUAGUGCCUUGUGGGUUUGAAUCCCGCUCUCGGUA